AAACCAACAGGGAUUACCUCAGUAACGGCGAGUGAAGCGGUAACAGCUCAAAUUUGAAAUCUGGGUCUUUCAGGCUCCGAGUUGUAAUUUGUAGAAGAUGCUUCGGGUGCGGCUCCGGUCUAAGUUCCUUGGAACAGGACGUCAUAGAGGGUGAGAAUCCCGUAUGUGAUCGGUUGCUUGCGCCCAUGUGAAGCUCUUUCGACGAGUCGAGUUGUUUGGGAAUGCAGCUCAAAAUGGGUGGUAAAUUUCAUCUAAAGCUAAAUAUUGGCCAGAGACCGAUAGCGCACAAGUAGAGUGAUCGAAAGAUGAAAAGCACUUUGGAAAGAGAGUUAAACAGUACGUGAAAUUGUUGAAAGGGAAGCGCUUGCAACCAGACUUGCGCGUUGCCGAUCAUCCGGGGUUCUCCCCGGUGCACUCGGCUUCGCUCAGGCCAGCAUCGGUUUUGGUGGUGGGAUAAAGGCCUUGGGAAUGUAGCUUCUUUCGGGGAGUGUUAUAGCCCUCGGUGCAAUGCCGCCUACUGGGACCGAGGACCGCGCUUCGGCUAGGAUGCUGGCGUAAUGGUUGUAAGCGAC
rnacentral:rRNA from 1 species